rnacentral:rRNA from 1 species
AAGAAAAGUAAUUCCUACAUCUUUAAUGCAUAGGAUCCCAUUAGAAAUCUAUAAUAAGCACUCUUGGGCUAGAGUAGUAUUGGGAUGGGCGACCUACCGGGAAGUCCUAGUGUUUUACAUU